CGACUGUGAAAAGGGAUCUAUCGGGGUGAUCAAAUGGAUUUUGUAUAUGUUGAUGAGGUCCAAGAUCUAACCAUGAGACAGGCUGCUCUUUUUAAGUAUAUGUGCCAAAAUUUUGAGGCAGGAUUUGCUUUCUCGGGUGAUACAGCUCAAACUAUUGCUAGGGGUAUUGAUUUCCGGUUCCAAGACAUAAGAUCUUUGUUUUACAAUGAAUUCAUCUCAGAACCAAGAAGUGAUUUCACAGGGAAAGCAAAGGAAAAGGUUUCUGAUUAUUUUCAAUUGAGUCAGAAUUUCCGUACUCACGCAGGUAUUCUCAAGCUGUCUCAGAGCAUAAUUGAGCUUCUCUACCACUUCUUUCCCCUCUCUAUUGACUCUUUAAGGCCCGAGAACAGCCUUAUAUAUGGUGAAGCACCAGUUUUACUUGAAUCUGUGAAUGAUGAAAAUGCAAUUGUAACUAUUUUUGGAAAUAGUGGGAGUACUGGUAGUUUGAUUGGGUUUGGAGCACAGCAGGUUAUUUUAGUACGCGAUGAUUCUGUGGAGAAAGGAGUCUCCAACCAAAUUGGAAAUCAAGCCCUUGUCUUGACAUUAGUUGAGUGCAAAGGCCUCGAGUUUCAGGAUGUUCUGUUGUACAACUUUUUUGGAACAUCUCCUUUAAAGAAUCAGUGGCGAGUUAUUUACGGACACAUGGACGAACUAGGUCUGCUUCACUGCGCCGAACACAAAUCAUUUCCAAGUUUCUGCUCGCCCGAGCACAAAAUUCUUUGCUCUGAAUUGAAACAACUGUAUGUGGCUCUUACUCGUGCUAGGCAGAGGCUGUGGAUCUAUGAGAAUACAGAUAACUUCUCGAUGCCUAUGUUUGAUUACUGGAAGAAGUUGGGAGUCGUACAGGUUCAACAUCUUGAUGAAUCUCUUGCACAGACAAUGCGAGUUGGAAGCAGCAAGGAAGAGUGGUGUUCUCGCGGUAUCAAGCUAUUUAAUGAGGGUAAUUUUGAGAUGGCGAUGAUGUGUUUCGAAAGAGCUGGAGAUCCAUACAAAGAGAAAUGGACAAAAGCUGCUGGACUUAGAGCUGCUGCUAACCGAAUGGGUGGUUCAAUUUCUGAACUGGCUCGCGUUCAUCUGACUGACGCUGCUGAGAUUUUUGAAACAAUUGGAAAAUUCGAGAUUGCUGCAAAAUGCUUUAUUCAGUUAAAGGAAUUCGAAAGGGCAGGUUUGCUUUACCUGAAGAAUUCAGAGGAACCAAGGCUAGAGGAUGCAGCUGAUUGUUUUUCUCUUGCUGGAUGCUGGUCUAUUGCGGCCGAAGUGUAUUGUAGGGCUAAUUGCUUGCCAAACUGCCUGACUGCUUGCACCAAGGGAAAUCUUUUGGAAGCGGGGCUUCUGUUCAUAGAGAAAUGGAAAGCAGAUGGAAUCUUUGAUGGUGAUGCAGCCGAAACUCAAGGGCUGAAAGAAUUGAAACAAGAGUUCCUAGAAAAGUGUGCAUUUCUCCAUCAUCAAGUGAAAGAUACAAAUAGUAUGAUGAAGUUUGUUCGGCCCUUCAACUCAUUGAACUUGAUGCGAACUUUCUUGGUAACUCAUAUUUGUCUCGAUGAGCUCGGGGUUUUAGAGACCGAGUUUGGAAACUGUAUGGAGGCUGCCAAUUCUGCCAAGCUGAGAGGAGAUCUUCUUCUUGGGGCAGAAAUACUGGAAAAGGGUGGGUGCUAUGAAGAAGCAUCAAGGAUCACUCUUCUGUAUGUUCUUGUCAAUUCUCUUUGGAUAACAGGAAGCAAAGGUUGGCCCUUAAAGAAAUUCUUAAACAAAGAGGAACUAUUGACAAAAUCAAAAUUGAUCGCAAAGACUAGCAAUGAUAACUUUUAUGAGUUAAUCUGCUUGGUGGCUAGCUCAUUAUCAGAGAAAGAUAGCAGCUUAGCAGAGAUGGGAGAUUGUUUGGCUACUUCCCAGAGGCUCGGUCAUUUUGGAGCAGAAAUUAUGUACCUUCGGAAGAUUCUCGAUUACCAUCUUAAGUUAAGGUUUGCUAACUACGAACAUGAUGAAAUGGUUGUGUUGAACUCUGUGGAACAUGCAGCAUUUAUGACUUCGCGUAAGAGGGUCUCAACUCAGACUUUAAUGUACUUCUGGAAUAUAUGGAGGGAGAAGAUAUUAAGCAUAUUGGCGUACCUUGGUUCUAUUGGAACAAUACAAGAAAAAGACUACAAGGGCUGUGAGGAGUUUUGUCUGGGUUACUUGGGUGUCUGCAAAACGGUGCAAAAUAGCAGUUCAAUCUACAUAUUGCUAAAAGCAGAUGCCUAUUGGAUGAAAGACAUCUGUCAUAGAUAUGUUAGACGAAAUGGGGAAUUGGUUACUAUGGAUGCUAACCAGUUUGUAUCUGCUGCUCAGAGUUACUGGGUUUCUGAAGUCACCUGUCUUGGUAUGAAUGUGUUAGAGAAGCUCAACACCCUUUAUCGGUUUUACGCUGGAAAGUCUCCCUCAUUGUUUAGUCAGGGAAUGACUUCUCUUCACAUAUUUGGAGUCACAAAAAGGCGCAUGGAAUCUAAGGUAUUGGACUGGGAGGCUCCUAAGGCACUACUAGAGUACUCUGCGUCUUGUAGACAGCGGUUUUUCGAAAUUGUACGUCCCGCAGACUCAAAAAUGAUUUUUUUAGAAGAUAUGAUCAAGCUAAGAAAAACAGAACUUUGUAGGGAAAUUACCAAAGAGCUAAUUAUGGAAAUUGUCAGAUCGGAAAGAAAUUUCUCUCUUGGGCAAAUUUGGGAAGUGGUGAUGCUGAUAUUUGUUUAUGGGAGUCUACCUGUUGAACUGUGUCAGAUUAGGAAGUCUUUGUUGAUAACCUGUCAGCCCAAUUGGAGCAAAAUAUCAAAUACCAUUUCACCGUUCCACUUUUUGUAUCUUCUAGAACGGUUACUUUAUUUGGUAAGUUCUUGGAAACGUUUCUUUUUCACAACAAAGUCUGCUCUCCUGGAAACACUUACAUGUGAAAACUGGAAACUUAAAAUAUCCGAGUCGGAUACAGAAAUUAGCUUAAAGGCAGAACUGCACCUUUUGGAAGGUUCUCUGCUGGCCUUGUGUCAUUAUAUAAUACUUUUGGGGAAGAAAGACACACUGGAAUGGUUUGAGAAAACUGAUACUGCAGCCAAGAAAGACUAUCGUUCUCUUGUUUUAAGGUUGUUUAUCCUUGUUUGUAUCAAUGCUGGAGAUCAUUUUGAAAAGCUCGUUGGUGUACUCAUUGAUAAGGACAUAUCUUCGUUGCUCCCAGUGGAAUUUCGUAAGAUCCUUGACUUUGCAAAGCCUUCGAAAGAUCCGUAUGAGAGAAUAUCCAGGAAGGUUGAUUAUGGUAAAAUAUCUAAAGUAUUCGCGCAGGUUCUUAAGAUUAUUGAGAAUCCUCUGGUGAUUUUGUAUUUUGGUAAAAAUCGUCCUACCUUUUCCUGUCCUGAUGCCAUAUUCAUAGACAUGGAGUUGAUUCUAUGUAGAGAAGAUAUAUUGGAUAUACUCAACAUCAAGAGAAGACAAUGUGUUCGACAAGGUGCUGUAAUUGAAUCGGGGACUGAAGGCAUAAGUGAUAAAAAUGUUCCUUCGUGCAAUAUUGGGAGCAUUGUUCAGUGUUCUCAACCUUCCAGUUCAUUCAGUGAACAAAAGCAGUUCAUGGAGAAUGAGCAUGAACGUGUCAGUGAUUUGCAAGGGAGUUACAUGAUCAUUUGGCGUGGAUUUGACGAGUUUUCUAUGAAUCCACCUGCAUUGAAGAGUUACUUAUUUGUGUUCUUGAUGCUGGAAUUGCCAAAUUGAAGCGGAAAGCAUCUUCAAGCAGUGAAGAUAGUAGCUUCGUCACUCAAGCAGAAUUUAUGCUUGGUGAAUUAAAGCAACGCUUAGCUGCUUAAGGGUUUCUCGUGCCAGCGAGGAGAAUAUGCAGCGCAUCAUGUCAAGUUUUGGCAUACUUCAGAACCAGUCAGUAGCAAUGGAGAUAAAAUUAAGACAACUGUUGGAUCCUUUUUUCUCGACGCUUGUGGUUCCAGCUACUGUCAUGGAAUCUUCUCAGGCCAGAGUUUCAUCGAGUAGCAAGAAGAAGGAAAAAUCAAGUCCGGAGAAGGAUAAGAAUGGGAAAGGCAAAAGGAAGUAAUAUACUAUUUAGUAUUUUGUUACAUUUCGUUCAUCGAUACUUUCUUAGUUCUGUAUGCAUACUGCACAUUUGGAGGAAUCUAGCAUAUCAUGGUUAAACAGAAAGAAGGUGCUUGGCUAACUACAGGACAGGUUGUAGGUGCAUUGGGUUUGAAAGUCAAUGCAGCUGCUGCCUGAUUAGUACAUUUUGCACUCUGUUCUAGUCUUGAAUUUGGCCCUGGGUUGCCAGCUUAUAGGAGUUAACCCCUUGAAGAACUUUCCUGACUUGGUUGCGGUUUCCCUCCACCUGGAUAGUGGUCCCAUUGCACCUAUGCUCCAUUAGAGAGUUUCCCAAGAUCCUGUUGCGCUCACUUUGAUUGUAAUCUGGGCUCUGCAAGUCAGCUUUGCCCUUGAAAGGGGAAAUUAAGCUAAGACCCAAAAAAUAUAUUAUUCUUGUUGUCAGGUCCAAGAGAUUUUUCAGUUUUCGUGACACCGAAAAUUAUUCGAAAUUAUUAAAAAUCGCUAUAUAAUUCAUUAUGCA